rnacentral:lncRNA from 1 species
AGUUUGAUCCAGCUCCAAGAAGGGGAGAACCGGAUGUAACACGAAGAACCCCUGAUUACUUCUUAUAAAAAUGGUCAACUAUUUCUGUUGUCUUCCAAUUGCUUGUUUUGCUAUAUUUUCCAUCUGCCGUCGAGAUAUGAGCAUAAUUAUGGCAAAGCUGCUUGUUUUGCUAUAUUUUCCAUCUGCUGUCGAGAUAUGAGCAUAAUUAUGGCAAAGCUAGCUACUCUUGGGAGGUAAUUCAUGGACCAAGAAGCUUGUAAAACGCUAGACCAGGUCC